UAGGGAAUCUUCGGCAAUGGGGGGAACCCUGACCGAGCAACGCCGCGUGAGUGAAGAAGGUUUUCGGAUCGUAAAGCUCUGUUGUUAAGGAAGAACGAGUGUGAGAAUGGAAAGUUCAUACUGUGACGGUACUUAACCAGAAAGGGACGGCUAACUACGUGCCAGCAGCCGCGGUAAUACGUAGGUCCCGAGCGUUGUCCGGAUUUAUUGGGCGUAAAGCGAGCGCAGGCGGUUAGAUAAGUCUGAAGUUAAAGGCAGUGGCUCAACCAUUGUAGGCUUUGGAAACUGUUUAACUUGAGUGCAGAAGGGGAGAGUGGAAUUCCAUGUGUAUCGGUGAAAUGCGUAGAUAUAUGGAGGAACACCGGUGGCGAAAGCGGCUCUCUGGUCUGUAACUGACGCUGAGGCUCGAAAGCGUGGGGAGCGAACAGG
rnacentral:rRNA from 1 species